rnacentral:rRNA from 1 species
GAUGAACGCUGGCGGCGUGCCUAAUACAUGCAAGUCGAGCGAAUGGAUUAAGAGCUUGCUCUUAUGAAGUUAGCGGCGGACGGGUGAGUAACACGUGGGUAACCUGCCCAUAAGACUGGGAUAACUCCGGGAAACCGGGGCUAAUACCGGAUAACAUUUUGAACCGCAUGGUUCGAAAUUGAAAGGCGGCUUCGGCUGUCACUUAUGGAUGGACCCGCGUCGCAUUAGCUAGUUGGUGAGGUAACGGCUCACCAAGGCAACGAUGCGUAGCCGGCAUGAGAGCGUGAUCGGCCACACUGGGACUGAGAUACGGCGCAGGCUCCUACGGGAGGCAGCAGUAGGGACUCCUCCUCAAUGGACGAACGUCUAACGGAGCAACGGCGCGUGAGUGAUGAAGGAGAUCGGGUAGUAAAAUGCUGUUGUUAGUGAAGAAUAAUUGCUAGUUGAAUAAGCUGGCACCUUGACGGUACCUAUCCAGAAAGCCACGGAUAACUACGUGCCAGCAGCCGCCGUAA